AAUAGAUACCCUGGUAGUCCACGCCGUAAACGAUGAGUGCUAAGUGUUAGAGGGUUUCCGCCCUUUAGUGCUGAAGUUAACGCAUUAAGCACUCCGCCUGGGGAGUACGGCCGCAAGGCUGAAACUCAAAGGAAUUGACGGGGGGCCCGCACAAGCGGUGGAGCAUGUGGUUUAAUUCGAAGCAACGCGAAGAACCUUACCAGGUCUUGACAUCCUCUGACAACCCUAGAGAUAGGGCUUCUCCUUCGGGAGCAGAGUGACAGGUGGUGCAUGGUUGUCGUCAGCUCGUGUCGUGAGAUGUUGGGUUAAGUCCCGCAACGAGCGCAACCCUUGAUCUUAGUUGCCAUCAUUAAGUUGGGCACUCUAAGGUGACUGCCGGUGACAAACCGGAGGAAGGUGGGGAUGACGUCAAAUCAUCAUGCCCCCUUAUGACCUGGGCUACACACGUGCUACAAUGGACGGUACAAAGAGCUGCAAGACCGCGAGGUGGAGCUAAUCUCAUAAAAACCGUUCUCAGUUCGGAUUGUAGGCUG
rnacentral:rRNA from 1 species